GUCACCGCCGCGGUAAUACCAGCUCUCCGAGUGGUGUGGAUGUUUAUUGGGCCUAAAGCAUCCGUAGCUGGCUAAGUUAGUCCCUUGUUAAAUCCACCGAAUUAAUCGUUGGAUUGCGGGGGAUACUGCUUGGCUAGGGGACGAGAGAGGCAGACGGUAUUUCCGGGGUAGGGGUGAAAUCCUAUAAUCCCGGGAAGACCACCAGUGGCGAAGGCUGUCUGCUAGAACGCGCCCGACGGUGAGGGAUGAAAGCUGGGGGAGCGAACCGGAUUAGAUACCCGGGUAGUCCCAGCUGCAAACGAUGCAGGCUAGGUGUUUGGACGGCCACGUGCCGUUCUAGUGCCGCAGGGAAGCUGUUAAGCCUGCCGCCUGGGGAGUACGAUCGCAAGAUUGAAACUUAAAGGAAUUGGCGGGGGAGCACCACAAGGGGUGAAGCUUGCGGUUUAAUUGGAGUCAACGCCGGAAAUCUCACCGGGAGCGACAGCAGUAUGAAGGCCAGAUUAAAGGUCUUGCCAGACGAGCUGAGAGGUGGUGCAUGGCCA
rnacentral:rRNA from 1 species